rnacentral:rRNA from 1 species
AAUCUGAGGCUUUCAGCCCCGAGUUGUAAUUUGAAGAUGGUGUUCUGGUGCCGGCCCCCUGUCUACGUUCCUUGGAACAGGACAUCACAGAGGGUGAGAAUCCCGUCUGGCGGGGCGGCCUGGCUCCGUGUAGAGCGCCAUCGACGAGUCGAGUUGUUUGGGAAUGCAGCUCUAAGUGGGUGGUAAAUUCCAUCUAAAGCUAAAUAUUGGCGAGAGACCGAUAGCGAACAAGUACAGUGAUGGAAAGAUGAAAAGAACUCUGAAAAGAGAGUGAAAAAGUACGUGAAAUUGUUGAAAGGGAAGGGUAUUGGAUCAGACUUGGUGCUGUGCGAAUAGCGGCCCUUCUUGGGCUGCCCACUCGCACUCCACCGGGCCAGCAUCGGUUUGGGCGGCAAGACAAUGG